AAAAUAACUGGUUUAUUACACACACCAUCCAAUCACAAGUCUUGACUACCAACUCUUUCAUGCUUUAUUAGUACUGACAACUCAUUUUCAUGAGAGUAUCUUAAAGCACCUCCGAAUCAAAGAUGAGUUUUAUUUGGUUCAGAUAUGGCAAGGCAUUGUACUGAAUUCUGUGCUUUGAAAACUGGUGAUCUAUAAUGGGAAAAUUCUACAAGUUGCAAAUUUAAGUGCCUAAGUGGACUUGGUAGACUGUGGCAGAUACACACAUCUCAUCUGAAAAAAAGGAAGCACUUGCUAUUCCAUCCUAAGCCUUGUGCUAAUCCAACCCACCCUCUGGCUAACUUUUCAAGGAUAUUUCCUCUUUUAUAAUUAUGAACUACUUAUUAUCUCACCU
rnacentral:lncRNA from 1 species